CCUACGGGGGGCAGCAGUGGGGAAUAUUGGACAAUGGGGGCAACCCUGAUCCAGCCAUGCCGCGUGUGUGAAGAAGGCCCUCGGGUUGUAAAGCACUUUCAGUGAGUAAGAACGCCUGGUGGUUAAUACCCAUCAGGAAAGACAUCACUCACAGAAGAAGCACCGGCUAACUCCGUGCCAGCAGCCGCGGUAAUACGGAGGGUGCGAGCGUUAAUCGGAAUUACUGGGCGUAAAGCGCGCGUAGGUGGCUUGAUAAGCCGGUUGUGAAAGCCCCGGGCUCAACCUGGGAACGGCAUCCGGAACUGUCAAGCUAGAGUGCAGGAGAGGAAGGUAGAAUUCCCGGUGUAGCGGUGAAAUGCGUAGAGAUCGGGAGGAAUACCAGUGGCGAAGGCGGCCUUCUGGACUGACACUGACACUGAGGUGCGAAAGCGUGGGUAGCAAACAGGAUUAGAUACCCUAGUAGUC
rnacentral:rRNA from 1 species